rnacentral:rRNA from 1 species
UACAGAGGGUGCGAGCGUUGUCCGGAAUCACUGGGCGUAAAGGGCGCGUAGGCGGUCUCUUAAGCGUGUGGUGAAAGCCCGGGGCUCAACUCCGGGUCGGCCGUGCGAACUGGGGGACUGGAGCGUAUCAGAGGCGGGCGGAAUUCCGGGUGUAGCGGUGGAAUGCGUAGAGAUCCGGAAGAACACCGGUGGCGAAGGCGGUCUGCUGGGCAGUUGCUGACACUGAGGCGCGACAGCGUGGGGAGCAAACAGG